GGACGAGCUGUGUCCCCUCUUUGGGACUCAGUUUCCUCUCCGGGAAAAGGUGAGGAGGCUCUCUGAUAGCGCUCUUCAGGGAUUCAACGGCGAGAUGUGUAGAAAGCCCGCAACUGCUGCCGCUGCUGCUGUUGUCACUGCUAUUAAUUAGUGAGAAACAGAGCAGGAUCCCAAGAGGCGGAGGGCGGGACAGGCCUCCCGGCCGGAAGGAACGGCGUGCGAUUCAGGACACGCGCAUGCGCGCUGAACAAGGAACCUGGGGCGCGGCAGCCUCCGCGGACGCUCCCCUGCCCGGGAGCUGCUCAGCAAGGGCCACAGCACAGGUGCUGCCAGUGUUGCUGGUCCAAGGACCACGCUUUGAAGACCACCGUCUUAGGGGAUUCACUCGGGGGACAUCUUCCUGCUGGAAACCCAGGUUGGAAAAACGCCACCGUAUCCCUCGGGAGUAUCUCCAGUGCCUUCCAGCACCGACAGUCGAAGGUUCUUCUGCAUAUCUGACCUGAAUCUCUGCUGCUGCGUUGCUCCUCGCCCAGGGUGGAGACAGUCCAAGGAUUCCAGGGACCCCACUGCCGAAGUCAAGCCUCUAAAAAAGCUCCACCGCACCACCUCCCUCGUAUCGCUGCUUGAUAAAGAAACUGAGGCUAGAGAGCAGAGGAAACAACUCAUCCAAGGUCACACAGACAAGACCCAGACAUUUGAUGGUCCCUGAGAGGGAAAAUCCCACAGCCAAGCCACAGAGGACAGAAGCCACGUUAGCUCUGGCACCCGCCAGCUCGGGCUCCCCUUCUCUCUGCGGAGCCCCUGGGGCCCCGCCCCUACCAGAUGCUUUCAGAUGCUUCUCUGCCCGCUGCAAGGAAUCUGCUCACCUCUCCUGAGCCAGGGAAGUGUGCCCAGGGGAUCUCUGCAUAUGAUCUGGAACAAGUUCCCUCCUCCCUGAGCCUCUGUCUCCCUGUCUGUAAAGUGGGAGGGCUGGGCUAGAAUUCGGGGUCCCCCAAGCGCAGGCCCAUCUGAGCCAGGUGAGGAAUGCAUAGCAGACACCGUGAUUCACCUGGCAGGAGAGUCAUUCUUGCCUUAGCCCCCUUUCUCUCCUGGCUCCCCAGCCGUCUGACACUUGUCCCCCCCCGUUCAGCCGAGUUCAGAGCUGGCGCCAGGCACACGCUCCGAUCACAUCAGGUGUUUUGUUGCCUUUCUUUUAAGGUAAACUUCCGUUUAGAGCAAACCGUCUUGUGUACGAUAUAGAGUGGUUUUCUUUAAGUGAAAGAGUGAUGGAUUUGAAGAACGCUUGGUUUAAGUAGGGCAGGUAGGAACCCAGCUUCUUGGAAGCCCACGUUUCUGGGUCCCGCCGUGGAAGUGAGACCAGGAGGGCGGGGUGCAGAUGGCCUGACGGAGUCAGAUGAGCAGACAGCACCGGUUUCUGGUGGAAAAGAAGAGGAAGCAGCAUCUUGGGGAGCCCUACCUGUCCCCCCAGAAUUCAUGGUCCCAGGGCUGCAGGGCAAGUGGAAAGACGAGGCAUGGGGGUCGGGCCCCAGGAUCCAAGAGGGCCCCUUGCCUCAGUUUAUCACACAGUCUACAGUCCCCUGUGACCUUCCUGCCCAGGGCAGCCCUGGGAGGUGUCCACGACCCGCCCCAGCUCAGGCCGGGAGGCACAAAAGGACCAGUCGCGUGAGUGGACAGAUCGGCUAUCUCAUCAGGCUUCACGGCGCACCUGUGACCAUCUCACAGCUGAAAACCCUGCGCGAGGCCACAAACGGCCAAACGGCCAAGUGCGAGGGAGCCCAAAGGGCUCAGCCACACGGAGGAAAUUUCCAUGGCAGGAAUUAGGAAUGUGGUUUUGAGGAAUAAUGACACGGGAAGAUAGAAGAUGUUGAAAGUAAGAUGUUGAGGACAAAAGACCAAGAUGUAAACUCUACACGACACGCUCUCCGUUUUAUUUCUCCAUCAACGCCUUACCAGUGUUCUACCGUGGGCACGCAUUCCCUCACAAUCAGAAAAAAAGAAAAAAGUUGAUCUGAAGAAAACAGAAAGAUUGGUCACGUGUCCCUGGUUGCAUAGUAAUCAAGCUGCCAAGCGGGCUCUGUGUGUCCUCCGACCUAGAGAACGAUGCUUUUCAGGAUGAAGCUGGGGUCACAAGAGAUACUUUUCUCUUAAAAAAGAAAGAAAGAAGGAAAAACAAACUUUUAAAGGUCCACGAAUAUCGUCUACACUCCCAGCUAACGCCAGGGGGCUUUUCCGAGGUAGAGAUGACUCAUGAAUCUCUGUGAAAUAUCCAGAGGGUGUUUUGAUUUAAAUGCCCCCCCUCAGCGCUCUGAGCUCGAGGACGUCACCGCGGGGGGUGGAGGGGGUCACCUGGAAGAGACAGCACCCCUUUGCGGACAGGGCCUCCUGGGGCCGCCGUGGGGGUGGGGGAGCGUGGAGCCUGUGGAGCCGGGGGCUCGUGUCUGGAAAGACGGAGCCCCGAUGCGGGAUAACAGAGAUCGGGGGGCAGCCAGACCCCUUCUCAAACAGGUGGGGCCGGAGGGACUGAGCCAGAGGCACCACGGUGCAGAGGGACCCCUCCCGGCAGGUCGGGGUGAGGCCACACCGUGGUCACGGUGCUUGGCCAGGUGCCUCUGUUUGACGCUAAAGAGGGAACCCGGCAAUAUUGCUAAUGAGAACCGGCACUUCGAGAGCACCGGCUUCUGCCACGUUCUGUGCUGAGAACCAGCUCCUUUCAUUCCUGGUCCCCGGCAGGUCUGGCCUCGGCUUCGCUCUGAGCGGCACCCCCUUAUCGCGUGCCGGACGCCAGGCCGAGAGCUGGACACGGCACGUCUCCCCCACAGCAUGCCUCUGAGGUGGGCGCUCUUACCACCCCCGUUUUACAGACGGAGAAACUGAGGCUCGUAGAGCUGAGGUGGCCAGAACUAGCAAGUGGCAGCGUCCCAUCUUCGACGUCUCGCCUUAAAACACUUGCGUGUGGGCAGUGUGACACAGGUGUGCGUACCCCUCAUCCACGUCCUAGGGGUGACCGAGCAACACGUGUGGGACCCCCGUCAGAAGCCCUCACUCCAGAGUGGUUACGGGAGGGUCUCAGGCAGAGCUCCACCGACACUUUGGGCCAGAGCAUUCUUGGCCGGGGCGGGGGGGGGGGGGGGGGGCUAUGUAUUUAACCCCUGGACACCAGGAGCACCACGCCCUCCAAUGGUGACAACCAAGAGCGCCCACAGACACUGCCACGUGUCCCCUGGGUGGCAGAACCACCUCCAGUGGGAGCCACUGGGUUAAAGCAGCUCUUCAACUCUUGAGGGUUCGUGAAUUAGCGUCGCGGGCAUUCGGGGUAAUUUUCACGUGUGAGAGUAGAGGCGUUGAAGGUGCGAUCUUCCGUGGGUGGCAAAUACUUCCCCCCUCGCAUGAAUGGGGGGUAGGAAUCUGGGGGGCCCAGCAGCCCAGCAUCUUCAGAAGGGGCCCCGGGGCUGCAGCUCCCAAUGGGCCUGUGCCACCCCAGCCCCCGCACGCACACACCUGCACACUCACGCCAGGAUGCGGACAAGGGCCUGGAGCCUCAGAGCGGGGGCUGGAGCUCGGAGAAGAGGUUGGUGGCCCCCUCGGGGUGUUCGCUGUUCACAUCAGAGUUCUGAAUGACACCUGCCUGCCUCGCAACCCCCGCCCGGCGGCAAACAGAGACCCUAAGGCAACCUACUCAUUUUGUCCCAAAGCACCCGACCAUUGAUGAACACUCACUGGUUUGGGUCCACUUAGCACAGGCAGGACUGGGAUUCAAACCCAAGGGCCACCUCGGUCACCCGCUCCGCACUGGAUGAUCUGCCCGAAUUCUCCAUGGUCGGGGACACAGACGCUCCCUGCUACUCACCCGCACAGCUGGACAUCAGAGCCACCUCCCCUAAACCAUCAGGACAGAGAAAGAAUGCCGUUCCCGACUGCUGUCUCUGCUCACCUCUGCAGUUAGGUUCCCUUCCCAGAGCGCCGGGGACUCGUGCACGGGGCCCACGAAAAUGGGUGGAUUACUUUUAAAAUCAGAAGAUAAGAAAUGAACUUUCAGGGGCGCCUGGGUGGCUCAGUCGGUUAAGUGUCCAACUUUUUGUUUGUUUGUUUGUUU